AAAUACACUCCACCAAUCCUUCCCAAAUCAUCCUCACCGACGACACUCAGGUUUGAAUCUAUUGAGUUGAUGAGAAAGUUGUCGGAAUAUAUGAUGUCGAUUGAAAAAUACUUCCAGACUACAAUUAUCUGAUCAAUGGAUUAU